GCGCACGGGUGCGUAACGCGUAUGCAACCUACCUUUUACUAGAGUAUAGCCCAGAGAAAUUUGGAUUAAUCCUCUAUAACAUCUUUUAAUCUCCUGAUUUUAAGAUUAAAGUUUUAACGGUAAAAGAUGGGCAUGCGUCCUAUUAGUUUGUAGGUGAGGUAACGGCUCACCUAGACUACGAUAGGUAGGGGCCCUGAGAGGGGGAUCCCCCACACUGGUACUGAGACACGGACCAGACUCCUACGGGAGGCAGCAGUAAGGAAUAUUGGACAAUGGACGAAAGUCUGAUCCAGCCAUGCCGCGUGCAGGAUGACAGCCCUACGGGUUGUAAACUGCUUUUAUACAGGAAGAAACACUCCGACG
rnacentral:rRNA from 1 species